UACGAAGGGUGCAAGCGUUACUCGGAAUUACUGGGCGUAAAGCGUGCGUAGGUGGUUCGUUAAGUCUGCCGUGAAAGCCCCGGGCUCAACCUGGGAAUGGCGGUGGAUACUGGCGGACUAGAGUGCGGUAGAGGGUGGUGGAAUUCCCGGUGUAGCAGUGAAAUGCGUAGAGAUCGGGAGGAACAUCUGUGGCGAAGGCGGCCACCUGGACCAGCACUGACACUGAGGCACGAAGGCCAGGGGAGCAAACGGG
rnacentral:rRNA from 1 species